GCUUGCUUUUCAAAACUUAGCGGCGGACGGGUGAGUAACACGUGGGCAACCUGCCCUUGAGACGGGGAUAACUCCGGGAAACCGGAGCUAAUACCGGAUAACACAUAUCUUCGCAUGAGGAUAUGUUAGAAGGUGGCUUUUAGCUACCACUCAAGGAUGGGCCCGCGGCGCAUUAGCUAGUUGGUGAGGUAACGGCUCACCAAGGCGACGAUGCGUAGCCGACCUGAGAGGGUGAUCGGCCACACUGGGACUGAGACACGGCCCAGACUCCUACGGGAGGCAGCAGUAGGGAAUCUUCCGCAAUGGACGAAAGUCUGACGGAGCAACGCCGCGUGAGUGAUGAAGGUUUUCGGAUCGUAAAGCUCUGUUGUUAGGGAAGAACAAGUACCUGUUAAAUAAGCAGGUACCUUGACGGUACCUAACCAGAAAGCCACGGCUAACUACGUGCCAGCAGCCGCGGUAAUACGUAGGUGGCAAGCGUUGU
rnacentral:rRNA from 1 species